GACCUGUAUUCUGAGAAGCUUCAGGUCCUCUAAGUUCCCGUUGGUUGACAUGAAUAACCCUGUUGCCUUGUUUCGAAGUCUGAAAUAAAUACGUUUCUAGAAGACAAAACCCCAGCAAUGAUCACAAGGAUGCUGGUGCCCACACCUGAAGACAUGUGGACUCCUGCACGCAAUGGCAUGUGAGCGACCCAGCAGCCUUCCUCUGGCCCAUGUGUUACCAAGGAAGAAUGUCCUCGACUUUCCAUCCUAGAACUCUAAAGCACCCAAAUAAUUGUUUUUUAAACAGCUAUAGUCCCCUCCAAUACUUGAUGCAUACAAGGGGACUAUACCUAUUUUUGAGUGAAACAAAAAUACUUUCUUAAAAACA